rnacentral:rRNA from 1 species
UACAGAGGUCCCAAGCGUUGUUCGGAUUCAUUGGGCGUAAAGGGUGCGUAGGCGGCGCGGUAAGUCGGGUGUGAAAUCUCGGAGCUUAACUCCGAAACUGCAUUCGAUACUGCCGUGCUUGAGUACUGGAGAGGUGACUAGAAUUCUAGGUGUAGCAGUGAAAUGCGUAGAUAUCUAGAGGAAUACCAAAGGCGUAGGCAGGUCACUGGACAGUUACUGACACUGAGGCACGAAGGCCAGGGGAGCAAACGGG